rnacentral:rRNA from 1 species
UACGUAGGGGGCAAGCGUUGUCCGGAUUUAUUGGGCGUAAAGAGCGUGUAGGCGGCUUGGUAGGUCCGCUGUGAAAACUCGAGGCUCAACCUCGAGAUGUCGGCGGAAACCACUUGGCUAGAGUCCGGAAGAGGAGAGUGGAAUUCCCGGUGUAGCGGUGAAAUGCGCAGAUAUCGGGAAGAACACCUAUGGCGAAGGCAGCUCGCUGGGACGGUACUGACGCUGAGGCGCGAAAGCGUGGGGAGCAAACAGG